CCAGUAACUGACCUCAUGCUGAUGAGUUGCAUUAACAACGAAACAGCUGUCCUUGAGUAGUUUACUGACUUUGC
rnacentral:sRNA from 1 species